UUGUGCACACUGAACCUACCUGCUUGGGACACAUACUUCUUUAUAUGCCCAUAUGAACCUGCUAAGCUAUGGAAUGUAAAGAAGUAUGUAUUUCAGGCUAGGAACUCUCUCGCCAGACUGA
rnacentral:precursor_RNA from 7 species